GCCCUCCGGUUGAUCCUGGCGGAGGCUGCUGCUAUUGGAAUUCGACUAAGCCAUGCGAGUCAAGGUGUCUUCGGACGCCGGCAUACGGCUCAGUAACACGUAGGUAACCUACCCUCAGGACUGAGAUAACCCCGGGAAACUGGGGCUAAUAUUAGAUAGAUAAAAGAUACUGGAAUGUUCUUUUAUUCAAAGCUUUUGCGCCUGAGGAUGGGCCUGCGCCCGAUUAGGUUGUUGGUGGGGUAAUGGCCCACCAAGCCUAUGAUCGGUACGGGCAGUGGGAGCUGAAGCCCGGAGUUGGGGACUGAGACAAGGCCCCAGGCCCUACGGGGCGCAGCAGGCGCGAAACCUCUGCAAUGCGGGAAACCGUGACUGGGGAAUUCCAAGUGCUCAUGCAUUGCAUGGGCUGUUCUUUGGUCUAAGUAACCAGAGGAGUAAGGGCUGGGCAAGACC
rnacentral:rRNA from 1 species